CCUGGUGGCUCAGAUGGUAAAGCAUCUGCCUACAAUGUAGAAGAUCCGGGUUCAAUCCCUGGGUCAGGA
rnacentral:tRNA from 1 species